rnacentral:tRNA from 1 species
GAGGUUGUGGCUCAGUGGUAGAGCACUUGCUUAGCAUGUGUGAGGCACUGGGUUUGAUCCUCAGCACCACA